rnacentral:rRNA from 1 species
UUCGCAAUGCCCGAAAGGGUGACGAUGCGACGCCGCGUGAGCGAAGAAGGCCCUAGGGUUGUAAAGCUCUGUCGAGGGUUAUGAAAUAUAGAUGGGUUAAUACCCCAUUUAUUUGACAAAAGCCCAAAAGGAAGCCACGGCUAACUCUGUGCCAGCAGCCGCGGUAAUACAGAGGUGGCGAGCGUUGUUCGGUAUUAUUGGGCGUAAAGAGCACGUAGGUGGUUUUGUAAGUCAGGUGUGAAAGCCUUCUGUUCAAAGGGAGAACGGCAUCUGAAACUGCAGAUCUUGAGUGUAGGAGGGGAGAGUGGAACUUCUGGUGGAGCGGUGAAAUGCGUAGAUAUCAGAAGGAACGUCGGCGGCGAAAGCGACUCUCUGGCCUAUUACUGACACUGAGGUGCGAAAGUUAGGGGAGCAAACGGGAUUAGAUACCCCGGUAGUCCUAACCGUAAACGAUGGGCACUAAGUAGAGGGGUUUU